UAACUUUGAAGUUUAAAUUAUGUGAUAAAACUAAUCAAAAGACAUGCGAAAUCAAAAUAGAUGUUUUUUACAAUGUAAAAAAUUCAACUACCAAAUAUUAUAUUAUUCUUAAAAAAUUGUUUGUGAACUAAAGCGAAAAAUAUACAAAGUUUGGGAAUUAAUGAUGUUAAUAGUUCUAAUAAAUAAAUAAAAGUUUAGGAUUAAUGAUGUUAAUAUUGUGAGAGAGA
rnacentral:lncRNA from 1 species